CUCCUACGGGAGGCAGCAGCUAAGAAUCUUCCACAAUGGACGAAAGUCUGAUGGAGCGACGCCGCGUGAAUGAAGAAGGCCGAGAGGUUGUAAAAUUCUUUUAUGGAUGAGGAAUAAAGCAGGGAGUGGAAAGCCCUGAAGAUGACGUUAGUCCAUGAAUAAGCUCCGGCUAAUUCCGUGCCAGCAGCCGCGGUAAUACGGAAGGAGCGAGCGUUGUUCGGAAUUAUUGGGCGUAAAGGGCGCGUAGGCUGUUAAACAAGUCUGUAGUCAAAUACCUCGGCUUAACUGAGGGAAGGCAAUGGAAACUGUUUAACUAGAAUUACCUAGGGGAAACUGGAAUUUCUGGUGUAGGGGUGGAAUCUGUUGAUAUCAGAAGGAACACCAAAGGCGAAAGCAAGUUUCUGGGGGAUAAUUGACGCUGAGGCGCGAAAGUGUGGGGAGCAAACAGGAUUAGAUACCCUGGUAGUCCACACCGUAAACGAUGUACACUAGGCAUUGGGCUGACAUGGCUCAGUGCUCAAGCUAACGCGAUAAGUGUACCGCCUGGGGAGUAUGCCGGCAACGGUGAAACUCAAAGAAAUUGACGGGGGCCCGCACAAGCGGUGGAGCAUGUGGUUUAAUUCGAUGCAACGCGAAGAACCUUACCUGGUCUUGACAUCCACGGAAGUUUUCAGAGAUGAGAAUGUGCCUUCGGGAACCGUGAGACAGGUGCUGCAUGGCUGUCGUCAGCUCGUGUUGUGAAAUGUUGGGUUAAGUCCCGCAACGAGCGCAACCCUUAUCCUUUGUUGCCAGCGGUCCGGCCGGGAACUCAAAGGAGACUGCCAGUGAUAAACUGGAGGAAGGUGGGGAUGACGUCAAGUCAUCAUGGCCCUUACGACCAGGGCUACACACGUGCUACAAUGGCGCAUACAAAGAGAAGCGACCUCGCGAGAGCAAGCGGACCUCAUAAAGUGCGUCGUAGUCCGGAUUGGAGUCUGCAACUCGACUCCAUGAAGUCGGAAUCGCUAGUAAUCGUGGAUCAGAAUGCCACGGUGAAUACGUUCCCGGGCCUUGUACACACCGCCCGU
rnacentral:rRNA from 1 species